rnacentral:rRNA from 1 species
GUGAGGAAUAUUGCGCAAUGGAGGCAACUCUGACGCAGCCAUGCCGCGUGCAGGAAGAAGGCGCUACGCGUUGUAAACUGCUUUUUUGGGGGAAGAAUAGUUUUCUUGCGAGGAAAUGUGACGGUACCCUAAGAAUAAGCCACGGCUAACUACGUGCCAGCAGCCGCGGUAAUACGUAGGUGGCAAGCGUUGUCCGGAUUUAUUGGGUUUAAAGGGUGCGUAGGUGGUUUGAUAAGUCAGUGGUGAAAGCCGGUUGCUCAACAAUCGAGUUGCCAUUGAUACUGUCGGACUUGAGAGAAGUGGAGGUUCAUGGAAUGGAUGGUGUAGCGGUGAAAUGCAUAGAUAUCAUCCAGAACGUCGAUUGCGAAGGCAGUGGGCUGUACUUUAUCUGACACUGAGGCACGAAAGUGUGGGGAUCAAACAGGAUUAGAAACCCCGGUAGUCC